rnacentral:rRNA from 1 species
UACGAAGGGGGCUAGCGUUGUUCGGAAUUACUGGGCGUAAAGGGCGCGUAGGCGGUGUGUCAAGUCAGGCGUGAAAGCCCCGGGCUUAACCUGGGAACAGCGCAUGAAACGGUAUACCUAGAGGACGAGAGAGGAAAGCGGAAUUCCUGGGUGUAGCGGUGAAAUGCGCAGAUAUCAGGAGGAACACCGAUGGCGAAGGCAGGUCUCUGGGCAUUAACUGACGCUGAGGAGCGAAAGCAUGGGGAGCGAACAGG